CCCUCGGGAUGUAAACUUCGCAAGAACGGGAAGAAUAAGUAGGGGACAAUACCCCCUAUGAUGACGGUACCGUUUGUAAGCUCCGGCUAACUCCGUGCCAGCAGCCGCGGUAAUACGGGGGGAGCAAGCGUUGUUCGGAUUUACUGGGCGUAAAGGGCGCGUAGGCGGCCAGCACAAGUCAGUUGUGAAAUCUCCGAGCUUAACUCGGAAAGGUCAACUGAUACUGUGCGGCUAGAGUGCGGAAGGGGCAACUGGAAUUCUUGGUGUAGCGGUGAAAUGCGUAGAUAUCAAGAGGAACACCUGCGGCGAAGGCGGGUUGCUGGGCCGACACUGACGCUGAGGCGCGAAAGCUAGGGGAGCGAACGGGAUUAGAUACCCCGGUAGUCCUAGCCUUAAACGAUGAAUGCUUGGUGUCUGGGGUUAUAAAGUCCCCGGGUGCCGUCGCUAACGCUUUAAGCAUUCCGCCUGGGGAGUACGGUCGCAAGACUGAAACUCAAA
rnacentral:rRNA from 1 species